CUCCUCCCUUUGGCCGGCCGCAGGUUGGUGGCGGGAGUAGGGGACAGCUGAGAGCGCGGGGAGGGGGCGCUCUGCGCGGGUUCAUGGCCGAACCCGGAAGCCGGGAGCCUGAGACUGGGGCCUGCAGCUCCAGUGUCGCCCGCCGCCGCCAUGGCCUCGCAGCAGCUCUUCCGCGCGCUCGUGUCGGCGCAGUGGGUGGCCGAAGCGCUCCGGGCCCCGCGGGCCGGGCAGCCCCUGCAGCUGCUCGACGCCUCCUGGUACCUGCCCAAGCUGGGCCGCGACGCACACCGCGAGUUCGAGGAGCGCCACAUCCCAGGCUCUGCCUUCUUUGACAUCGACCAGUGCAGCGACCGCACGUCGCCCUACGACCACAUGCUGCCCAGGGCUGCGCACUUCGCCGAGUACGCGGGCCGCCUGGGCGUGAGCGCCUCUACGCACGUCGUGGUCUACGACGCCAGCGACCAGGGCCUCUACGCGGCGCCGCGCGUCUGGUGGAUGUUCCGCGCCUUCGGCCACCGCACCGUGUCGCUUCUCGACGGCGGCCUCCGCAACUGGUUGCGCCAGGGCCUGCCGCUGAGCGCGGGCAAGAGCCGCCCGGAGCCCGCAGAGUUCCACGCGGUGCUGGACCCCGCCUACGUCAAGACGUACGAGGACAUCAAGGAGAACCUCGAAUCCCGGCGCUUCCAGGUGGUGGACGCCCGCGCCGCUGGCCGCUUCCGGGGCACCGAGCCCGAGCCCCGAGAAGGCAUCGAACCCGGCCACAUCCCUGGCACUAUCAACAUCCCCUUCACGGAAUUCCUGACCAAGGAGGGCUUGGAGAAGAGCCCCGAGGAGAUCCGCCUCCUCUUCCAGGACAAGAAGGUGGACCUGUCCCAGCCCCUGGUGGCCACGUGCGGCUCUGGCGUCACAGCCUGUCAUGUGGCACUGGGGGCCUACCUCUGCGGCAAGCCCGAUGUGCCCCUCUAUGACGGCUCCUGGGUGGAGUGGUACAUGCGCGCCCAGCCCGAGGAUGUCAUCUCCGAGGGCCGGGGGAAGACCCACUGAGGCUUGGCGGGACACAGGAAGCUCGGGUGACACCCAGCCACCAGCAGUGCCCAGCCUGGUGGUUCUGACUCUGCUUUGACCAGUAUAGGGUUUCUUCCUCCAACCCAGGUGGCGCAUAGGGUGACAUCCCAGAGGCCGGCAGUUCCGCUGCCUUGCGGGCUCUCAGUGGAGGCAGCAGAGAAGGUGGUGGCGGGAGCAGGGGGAGGGGAGCUGCCCACGUGGUGCUGAGCUGGAGCCCCACCUCCCCUCUGUUGAGGAAAUAAAACAGUCAAGUGCUAAAUCCUUCUAACUGAGGCUGCCUCAGCUUUCCUCGGCUCUUUGGUCAGUGGUUCCAACAUGCCCAGCGAGGGAGCUUCGUGGAGCCGGAGGGUCUUGAGGACGCUGUCCCUGCCUUCUGAGCGGUGCUGGGGUCCCAGAGCCCUUCCAGUUCUGUGACUGAAUGUCUCCCAGCGAACUGUCUUCUACUUCUACUUCUAUGGCUGGGGUCUCCCUUCUGGCUUCUGGGCUAUUUAAGGUACAUCUGCUGUGCUCUGUCUGGAAUCACACCCAAACCCCCCCUGCAGGACUCUAUAAAAGAUGCACUUCCCUGGCGGUCCAGUGGUUAAGACUCUGCGCUCCCAAUGCAGGGGGACCAGGUUCGAUCCCUGGUCAGGGGACUAGAUCCUGCAUGCCACAGCUAAGAGCCCUCAUGCCGCAACUAAAGAUCCCGCAGACCACAAUGAAGAUCUCGCGUGCUGUAACUAAGACCCGGCGCAGCCAAAUAAAUAAAUAAUUUUUUUUUAAA